UUUUUUUAAAAAGAAUGUGAACUCAGUCUUCACAACCUAAUAACCAGCAUCAUCACACUCCCGGAUUCAUUUACAGUUUAUGAAGUCCUUUCUCAUUCUUUGUGUCAGGAGAACCUCAUCUCAAGCCCGUGGAGAAAGGCAACCAGGAUUUCUCAGUUCUUUUAUUUAUAAGGAAACCAGGCCUCGGCCUGUGUCAUGAGCUGCUUAAGUAUAUCCACUUAGAAAGGAAGUUGAGCCAGUUCUUCUGACUCCAGACCCGGUGCUCUGUCCUCCGAGGACACGAGAUGAACAGGCCCCCAGCGGGCCGCUUAGCCUGCGUGUUGUAGACGAGAUGUCAGACAAAACGGCAAAAAGUUCAUCUUGCCCAAGUCCACGUCCUCACAGCCCCAUAGAGGGAAGAGGGAGGGAGGAGGGGGUAGGUCGGACGCCUGGUAUCGGAUGGCCCAGGGUGGGGUCCACAGGACGGAGCAGCCUUGACAGGCAAAGGCAGGAAACGGCUGAAGCAGGAUCGUGAAAUGACAUUUGUCAAAGGCAUCCACACCCAUCUGCGGCAGUGAAAGUGUACCAGGCCCAAGGCGGAGGUGAUGGGCCAACGAAACUCGCCACCGCAUUCACCUCUGCGAUUGGGGACACGGUGAGGCCGGCCCACCUGCCGUAUCAGCACCUUGAUCACGGAGCUCAUCUGAGAGAGGUUUCCAAAUGACUCGCCGGGCCCCGCUGCCCCAGGAAGGAAGCUUUCUGGGCUGCAGUGUGGGGGCUGCUGGGCGUGGGCCAGGCACUUGAAAGAGAGUAAAUGAUGACACAGCAGUGGGAGACAGGGCUGCUGACAGUGUGGGGCUGGCUCUGGAGAGGCAGGGAUGCAGCGCCUGCCAAAGGGGGGGGGGGUGGCGCGCAUUGGAAAAUCACGUGGGCAUCUCCCUGUUAGCGAGGAAACAAGGGCCAGGUGCUGUAGCUUGGCAUUUCAGGCCCCUGUAACACGGCCCAGAUGUGCUGUUGUUUGUUUUUCAGGCAAUAAAUAUUUAUAGAAUGUUCACCGUGAGUUUCCAAAGUUAACUUCCUGCUGGUUCCUUUUCAGGAAAGCCGCUGGAGAGGACUUCUGGUGCUGCAAAUGUGGAACAGAGCUCCUUUUCUGAAACGGGGCCGCCUGUGGCCCGUGGGCACGAACACCACUCCUCCGGUCAAAGCAAGUCAGCAGCCUGUGUGUAGGCAGAAAGGCAUGUCUCCAGAUUCUGUUUCCCUUUAAAAAUAUCUGAUAUAAAAUAUACUUUAUGCAAUAA